CCAUCUUUGUCUCAUAACCUGU
rnacentral:snRNA from 1 species